ACAGCUCCGUGUCUCUCCUGUGCCGAGGCCCCAGCGCUGGAGGCAGCACUGCAGGGGGGUCUCCCCCGAGCGCAGCAGAGGGGCAGAAUCCCCCCCUUGCCCUGCUGCCCACGCUUCUUUCUACCACCUACUUUGUCAGGCAGCGCUUUGCACACUUGGGAUGCCUUUUUGGAAAUUAUUCUGGUAGUCUGAGUUUGGCGUGUGUGUCCAGGAGGAAAGUUUUCACAGGAGGGAUACGCGUGGCAGCAGGAGAGGCUCCUGCGUGGAGGUGGAUGGUCAAGUGUCCAGGGGAAGAGGCAGAUCCAGGGUAAUGGUUUCAGGGUUGAAAGGUGGAGGCUGGGAUCGCUGCGUGGAGGGGGCGGUGAAAAAGGCUUUUCAGCCUUUUGGCAAGUGGAUAAUUCAAAAAGUACAAGAGAGAGAGGAAAUUUGCUUCCUGGUGUCUCUUUCCUGACAUGAAAUAAAUUGUUGAGACGCCCCAGCAACAUUUCCGCAGGUCGUUUUCUGUUUCAGCCAUUUCCAUUUGGCUUGUAACACCUUGAUGGAAUGAAAUCCAAACUUUUUUGUUAAAACCUUUCUAGCAGGAAUACGGGUUGUUUCAGAGCUAAGCUUUUUUUGGGGCAGAGAACUUCUUGCCUUUUGUGUACUGCGCUUCGUCUCAUCAGCUGCCCGUUUUUUGGUGGUGUUUGGAGCAUCUCGGCUACCGUGGCCAUUUCCUACGUGGUCGUGGCGUCCUGAAGCCUGUGCUAACCAGGGGAUUCGAUGUGGGGUAGGAACAGCUUUGAGUAAGCGCGGUGCUGGUGCGCUAGACCGAGAGCUCCGCUUGGCCUGAACCUCUUUUCCCUAAAAACUUUGCUGCUGGCGGGAAGAGGAUUCUCUCCGUUCCUUAUUUAAACAGUUGUUUCAGGGAGAAAAGAGAAAUCUGGAUUGCAGUGGGGUGAGCGCAGGGCUCUGGUUUCUACAGUUUUCUCUAGGUAGAAGGAAAAAUUAAAUAAAUAAAUAGAAAAAAAAAAACUGUGCUUUGCUGGGAAAAAAAGCUUUUCUUCCACAGAUCCUUAAGGGACACUUGCGCAACAUCAAAUACGCGAAGUACCCUGGCUGCGCGGCCAGCAGUUGGCAAUGAUGCCGUUUCACAACAGGGAGGGCUUUGGCAAUGCUGAAUUAAAAAGCUGCUGCUCUUCUCCUCCGCCUCUUUUUUUUUUGUUUUUCCCUCCUCCCUUGUGCUGGUCCAGCUGUUUGUCAUUCCACGUGGCACAGGGGAUUGGAAAAACCGGUAAGGAGAAGCAACGCAGCCAAAAGGGAAGAGCCCCGCAGCCUGAGUCAGCAUCUGUGGUGUUAAACGUUGCAAUGAUGCUCUUAGUAAUUAAUUCACGGGGAGGAUUUGUAAGGUGAAAACCCCUGCGGCUUAAUGAGCUGUCAUCUGAGGCUCUGUCACUGCAGCCAGAUCCUCGCAUAUAUUGGAAGGAUGAUUGAUUUAUUUUUAAUUUUUUUCAGGCACUGGCCUGGGCUUUGGGAGACCGAAGUCCUGGUCCUGCCCCUGCCGCAGAUUGCUGGGGUCAUCUCAAGUGAUUUGCUUCAUUUGCAUCCGUCUUGGAGGAAAAAGUGCACUUUCUGAGGCUCUGUGCUCUUUCUCACAAUUUGGCAAUCUCCUGGGCUCUCGGAGGCAGGGUUGUCCAGCUGGGCCGUAUCAGGGAGGCCUUGGAUCGCAGCUGAACCUGGAGGACGGGGCGGUUUCAGGGCCAGCUUGCUGCAGGCUCCGUCUAGUUUGCGUUCAUGCCAGUUUAACGCUCCAGAUGGUUGUCUCGGUGCUGGAGGAGAAAAUGACCCUGAUGAGUGGCACGUCCUCUGGGGAUGUAACUGCCCUCAGCCGGCUCCACCUGAGGUUUCUUAUUAGCCAGCUGUGGCAGUGAGAAGAGAGGAGGAAGAAACAUUGAUGAUGCUUGUGAACAUCUGAGUAUUUCACAGUAUACCAUGUUCUGAGCACUCAGUGUUUGAAGGCUGCGAUGUUCGACAAGUUUCCCUCUCUUGGUCAGGUGGAGGUGAUCUUCCGCCCUUCUUGUUCCAGAGUGUCCACCUUGGUCAGAGCCGUGGUUAUGGCUUACUCUUCCACCAUAGUGGUCAAUGCUUUCUUCUGCCAUGCUGCUGAGCCCAACUGCUUCUAACCACAAGAGCGCUGGAGGUGGGAUCUUCUCUGUGGGCCAAUACCGUGUGUUCCUGCUAAUUACAGAGGCUAUUUUGCACCAAUUAGUGCAAUAGUCAAGAGAGACCAUGUCUACAGGGGGGCUGUGAUGUCAUCCUUGCACUCAGAUGACAUCACUAGCUCUGCUGCUGUAAGAGAGUGGAUGCCCUUGUCACUGUCACAGCCAUCCAGGAAAGGAUCGGAGUGAUGCAGAACCUUUCCUGCUCAAUAAAUGUAGUUUGUAAUUAUAAAGGAGUGUAUUCAUUGCCCUAUUCAUCUGACAGCUGUGUGUUUACUGGGUAAAAGCAUUCAUUAAGAACCUCUGUAAUCCAUCAGUGCUCCAAGGAGAGCAAACCACCAGGUGGACCAUGGUGGACCACUCCUUUUGGAUCAGAC